rnacentral:lncRNA from 1 species
GUGGCAGAUACAUUAACAACACCCCUGACCUGAUGCAUGAGACAGAACAUCGUGCCAGGUCCGCAGGUGGUGGGAUGUCUUUACACUUAAGGUCCAGGUAGAUGGAGACAGAGGACAAGGCCACUGUCACAUUUCAGCAGCUCCUGGGUGAGGGCAGGUGGCCACAGCAGCGACACUGCCCUCAGUGAGAUCCCAGAGUCUCUGGCUGACCGCUUUCCUCCCUAUGCACUGGCCCUGCUCUCUCCAUAAGCGUGAUGAAUCCACUCAGACAAAGCUUUGGAUGGAUGGACGCCUUUCCCAGAGCCUUGGUCCCUUGAGUGGCCACUUUCUCCUGAACCCUAUUAGCCUAUGGUCCUGCCCCUCUGGACUCAGGGCAGAUAUGGCUUCUUAAGGACUUUCCUCAGUGUCCUUACUGGGCCCUCCCCUCCGAAGCAGCCUUGGUGGAGAAAGGAGGUGUCCAGCCCCUGCUUGGACAUUCAGAUCCUCCUGUCCCGUGUUCUGAUAACAAAGCCUUGACCUCCGUCUACACUCCUCACAAAUAUUCCUGUUUUUCUUUCCUAACCCCGGCUGCCUGCACAACAGAGGGAACUGGCCCCCAGCGUCCACCUCAGGAUGUGGUCCCUCUGGCAGCUCUGUCUCCCAGGCCUCCCUACCUGAUGCCAGGCCACCAGCUCCCAUCUACCAGGAAUUACUACACCCCGACACAGACGUUUACUGUAAUAUCAGCCACAAAGCAGAUGCGGGUCCUUAGUUCCUCCAGACACGUCUCCUUACGGACUGUGUGAAAGAGCUUACCUGAGACCCAAGACCCGAGUGAGGUCAAGAGGAAGAGCCUGAGGCAGAGAACCAGCUCUGAGACCUGAGGCUAUUCGGGAACCUAGGCCCAGGCUCAGGGUCCUCCUGGAUUCCUGGCAACACUGACAGGCUGCCCUGAAGCCUGGAUGGACCAGAACUCAGGCUGCGAUUCCCACAGUGGGGGGAGGUUUCAACAGGGCAAGUGACUGGGCCUGUGACCCACGGUGGACCACCAGAGAGAUCUGAAUCAAGAGCACUUUCCUUCCCCUGGUUGCAAAAUAUACUGCCCUUGGGUCUUGUCCAGCAAGAAAUUCACCUGAAUCUCUGCUCUGGUCUCUCCAUGGUUGCUCAGGGAAAGUAUUAGCUCUAGUUACCUGACCUCCCCAUCUAUUCCCUGGGGGAAAGGAAGGGGAAGAUUGUGAGAAUGGAGGGAGGGGGGCAUGCUAACAGGAAAGGAGGGUCACCAGACCAUUGGCAGCCACAUGGGCACUCGGCAGUCCUCACACUGCCCUGGGGUCCCAGACACCUCCCAGUGCUUGCUCACUUGGCAUGGAGUCUCUGGAGCACAGAAUAUGGGACCGUCUGAGACCCACUAGAACAUGAGUCAGGAAGGAUGAGUCGUGGGUGAGACAACUUUUAUGGGUGAGGCCCCUUUGCAGCCUCUUGGUGUCCUGAGCCCUUGGCCAUCCUCACCAAGCCCUGCUGGCCCCAACUUGUGCUGCCUCAAUUGAGUUUUAUUUGUUCAG